rnacentral:rRNA from 1 species
CCCCUAGGGGCGUCUGCUAUACAUGCAGUCGAGCGGUAGCACAGAGAGCUUGCUCUCGGGUGACGAGCGGCGGACGGGUGAGUAAUGUCUGGGAAACUGCCUGAUGGAGGGGGAUAACUACUGGAAACGGUAGCUAAUACCGCAUAAUGUCGCAAGACCAAAGUGGGGGACCUUCGGGCCUCAUGCCAUCAGAUGUGCCCAGAUGGGAUUAGCUAGUAGGGGGGGUAACGGCUCACCUAGGCGACGAUCCCUAGCUGGUCUGAGAGGAUGACCAGCCACACUGGAACUGAAACACGGUCCAGACUCCUACGGGAGGCAGCAGUGGGGAAUAUUGCACAAUGGGCGCAAGCCUGAUGCAGCCAUGCCGCGUGUGUGAAGAAGGCCUUCGGGUUGUAAAGCACUUUCAGCGGGGAGGAAGGCGUUAAGGUUAAUAACCUUGGCGAUUGACGUUACCCGCAAAAAAAGCACCGGCUAACUCCGUGCCAGCAGCCGCGGUAAUACGGAGGGUGCAAGCGUUAAUCGGAAUUACUGGGCGUAAAGCGCACGCAGGCGGUCUGUCAAGUCGGAUGUGAAAUCCCCGGGCUCAACCUGGGAACUGCAUUCGAAACUGGCAGGCUAGAGUCUUGUAGAGGGGGGUAGAAUUCCAGGUGUAGCGGUGAAAUGCGUAAAGAUCUGGAGGAAUACCGGUGGCGAAGGCGGCCCCCUGGACAAAGACUGACGCUCAGGUGCGAAAGCGUGGGGAGCAAACAGGAUUAAAUACCCUGGUAGUCCACGCCGUAAACGAUGUCGAUUUGGAGGUUGUGCCCUUGAGGCGUGGCUUCCGGAGCUAACGCGUUAAAUCGACCGCCUGGGGAGUACGGCCGCAAGGGUAAAACUCUAAUGAAUUGACGGGGGCCCGCACAACGGGGGGAGCAUGUGGUUUAAUUCGAUGCCACGCGAAAAACCUUACUGGUCUUGACCUCCCCAGAAUUUUCAGAGAGGAUUGGGGCUUCCGAAACUGUGAGACAGUGCUGCAUGGUGUGCUCCCCUCCGGUGUGAAAGUGGGGUAAAUCCCCAACAAGGGCACCUUUU